CAUCCCAGCACGAGCAUAAAUUCAUCCUAUACUAAUCUGAGUAUCCACCGCGUACAAACUGCGACGAUACAAACAAACUACAACUCCUAAAGCUAAAUCUGGUAGUUUUCAGAAAAUGACAGUGUAGGGUUAAAUAGUUUUCUCCUAAGUGAGUUUCAAGUUCAACAUGUAUAAUUUAUCUAAAUCACUAGUUAUGCUCCAAAUUCAGAUUUCAAUUAACAUACACAUCAACGAAUUCGAGCUAUUAAAAUUGAUAUACGAAGCCAAAAAUACAUGCUGUUAAGCCUAGGAGGAAUACCGACGAUUUCGGUAAACUUCAAUCCACCUCAAAAAGAUAAUCCAACGACGGCGAGAAGUCGGAAGGAGAGGAAAUGUAAGGACUGAGAUUUUUACAGUGCAACUAAACUGUCUGUUGAUGAUGUUUAUGUGUGUAAUUUAAUUACAUAAGCACUCGUUAAAUUUCAGGAGAAAAUGAGCUAGAACGGAGAAGUUACGUGAUUAUUAGUUUUCACUUAAAGUGAAUAGUAACCCGAUUUUUUCGGAGAAGCUACAGAGUAGAGUUGGCUUUCGGCAUGUAUCGGACUCCGUUCAUAGCGAUCCAAUAGCUCGUUUCAAUCGGUUCAGCUAUUCUGGAACCAAUGGCACUAACGAAUUUUAGAUCUGAUGCACGGUUCUCGAGAAAAUCUGAAAAUACAUGUUUCUUAUGUAAUUGUGCAUCAUUUUGGCCUUUUGGAGAGAGAAUGGAUUUCGUCGUGAAUCGGAGAUCAAAUCGGACGAAACGAAAUGCUAGAUUCGAUGCCCUCGUCGUGCUGAACGCGAUGGUGCAAUCCGUUCAGAAAUCCGAUGAACGAAUUGUCGGAUAUUGCUUGAAGUUUGCUAAGGGGUCGAGAGUGGAAAAUCAGGAAAUUCGCAAGAGUCGUAAUAUUUUAUGUACCGAAUCAUGCGAAAUCAGAUGUGGAAGG
rnacentral:lncRNA from 1 species